CUAAGAAUAUUCCGCAAUGGGAGAAAUCCUGACGGAGCGACGCCGCGUGAACGAAGAAGGCAGAAAUGUUGUAAAGUUCUUUUAUAUGGGAAGAAUAGGGUUAGGGGUAGAAUACCUAAUUGAUGACGGUACCAUAUGAAUAAGCCACGGCUAACUACGUGCCAGCAGCCGCGGUAAUACGUAGGUGGCAAGCGUUGUUCGGAUUCAUUGGGCGUAAAGGGCAUGUAGGCGGUUAUGUAAGUGUGAAUUUAAAGACCGAAGCUUAACUUCGAGUUUGGUUUGCAAACUGUAUAACUAGAGUGCAGAAGGGGAGACUGGAAUUCCGCGUGUAGGGGUGAAAUCUGUAGAUAUGCGGAAGAAUACUUGUGGCGAAGGCGAGUCUCUGGUCUGUAACUGACGCUGAAAUGCGAAAGUGUGGGUAGCAAACAGG
rnacentral:rRNA from 1 species